rnacentral:rRNA from 1 species
AUAGAGUUUGAUCAUGGCUCAGAUUGAACGCUGGCGGCAGGCUUAACACAUGCAAGUCGAGCGGGGUGAUGGUGCUUGCACUAUCACUUAGCGGCGGACGGGUGAGUAAUGCUUAGGAAUCUGCCUAUUAGUGGGGGACAACAUUUCGAAAGGAAUGCUAAUACCGCAUACGUCCUACGGGAGAAAGCAGGGGAUCUUCGGACCUUGCGCUAAUAGAUGAGCCUAAGUCGGAUUAGCUAGUUGGUGGGGUAAAGGCCUACCAAGGCGACGAUCUGUAGCGGGUCUGAGAGGAUGAUCCGCCACACUGGGACUGAGACACGGCCCAGACUCCUACGGGAGGCAGCAGUGGGGAAUAUUGGACAAUGGGCGCAAGCCUGAUCCAGCCAUGCCGCGUGUGUGAAGAAGGCCUUAUGGUUGUAAAGCACUUUAAGCGAGGAGGAGGCUACUUUAGUUAAUACCUAGAGAUAGUGGACGUUACUUGCAGAAUAAGCACCGGCUAACUCUGUGCCAGCAGCCGCGGUAAUACAGAGGGUGCAAGCGUUAAUCGGAUUUACUGGGCGUAAAGCGCGCGUAGGUCGGCUAAUUAAGAUACAAAUGUGAAAUCCCCGAGCUUAACUUGGGAAUUGCAUUCGAUACUCCGUUAGCUAGAGUGUGGGAGAGGAUGGUAGAAUUCCAGGUGUAGCGGUGAAAUGCGUAGAGAUCUGGAGGAAUACCGAUGGCGAAGGCAGCCAUCUGGCCUAACACUGACGCUGAGGUGCGAAAGCAUGGGGAGCAAACAGGAUUAGAUACCCUGGUAGUCCAUGCCGUAAACGAUGUCUACUAGCCGUUGGGGCCUUUGAGGCUUUAGUGGCGCAGCUAACGCGAUAAGUAGACCGCCUGGGGAGUACGGUCGCAAGACUAAAACUCAAAUGAAUUGACGGGGGCCCGCACAAGCGGUGGAGCAUGUGGUUUAAUUCGAUGCAACGCGAAGAACCUUACCUGGCCUUGACAUAGUAAGAACUUUCCAGAGAUGGAUUGGUGCCUUCGGGAACUUACAUACAGGUGCUGCAUGGCUGUCGUCAGCUCGUGUCGUGAGAUGUUGGGUUAAGUCCCGCAACGAGCGCAACCCUUUUCCUUAUUUGCCAGCGAGUAAUGUCGGGAACUUUAAGGAUACUGCCAGUGACAAACUGGAGGAAGGCGGGGACGACGUCAAGUCAUCAUGGCCCUUACGGCCAGGGCUACACACGUGCUACAAUGGUCGGUACAAAGGGUUGCUACCUAGCGAUAGGAUGCUAAUCUCAAAAAGCCGAUCGUAGUCCGGAUUGGAGUCUGCAACUCGACUCCAUGAAGUCGGAAUCGCUAGUAAUCGUAGAUCAGAAUGCUACGGUGAAUACGUUCCCGGGCCUUGUACACACCGCCCGUCACACCAUGGGAGUGGGUUGCAAAAGAAGUAGGUAGCUUAACCUUCGGGAGGGCGCUUACCACUUUGUGAUUCAUGACUGGGGUGAAGUCGUAACAAGGUAACCGUAAACCGAAUGGCGGCCGGGAGCAUGUCUUGCCCGGUCGGCAGGAGCAUUUCGCCCUAUAGUGAGU